rnacentral:sRNA from 1 species
GUGGGCAUCAGGGAGAAGGACUAUUGGACCUGCUUUGAGGUCAACGAGAGGGAGGAGGCAGAGCGCCCCCUGCACUUUGCGGAGAAGGUGCUGCCCAUCCUGCACGGGCUGGGCACGGACAGCCACCUGGUGGUGAAGAAGCACCAGGCCAUGGAGGCCAUGCUGCUGUACCUGGCCAGCCGUGUCGGUGACACCAAGCAUGGCAUGAUGAAGUUCCGUGAGGACCGCAGCCUCCUGGGCCUGGGCCUGCCCUCAGGUGGCUUCCACGAUCGCUACUUCAUCCUCAACAGCAGCUGCUUGCGGCUCUACAAGGAGGUCCGGGUAAGUGGCCCCGCUGGGUUCUGCCCCAGGGUGGGCACCUGUACACCUGAAUGUGCUCAGAGAUUCCCCUUGGUCUGCAAGUGGAAAUAUUCCCGUUACAGGCUCUCAGGAUGGCACAGCAGUGGGGGACAACUGUAGACUCUCAAGACCCCUCCUGCUGUGGCCCUGGAUGGCCACUCUAGUGUG